UUAAGAUUCACAACAGUACAUAAUCUAUGUGGGAUAAAAAUAAUGUCAAUUAAUAGCCCUUGUAAAAGUUUAAUACUGUAUAUGUAUACAUACAAAUUUUUUUCCCCCUUAAGGCAAAAUGGCCAUUAAAGUAUUAAUACAUUGUUUGGAAACUUUGCAGUUGAGUUCUACUAACUUCACGUAGUUAUAAUUCAUGGCGUAUUUUAGAGGAAGGAGUCUGCUACUUGGGACAGUGGGACCUGGGAGGUCAAAGGCCUGAAACAAUAAAAAUUUCUUUUUUUUUUUGAUAGAAUUCUCCUGAAUUCAUUAAUAAAGGCCUGGAAACUGUGAAAGAUGCAGAGAAAUGUUGGGCAGAUUUCAUUAGAACCAGUGCUUUGGACCUCUCCCAAGAUGGCCUCAGACACACCCUCUGAGGAGCACCUGUGCUGUGGAUCCUAAGACUGACUCCACGCAUAGGCUAGAUGCCAAUGCUCAAGGUCACCCUGGAAGCUGUACGGAAGCCCUGUUAGCCUGGGUUCCUCUAUCAUUGUGAUUCGCAGGUCCUCUCUGCUGCCUUGGUCAAAGCCAACCAGGAGUACCUGCCGGCAUCGGACAGUGACAACCCAGUUGGGAACAGCUGACGCAGGGCCAGAGAAAUGCACCUGGAGCAGUUAAUUCUACUGCAGGACAACGUAACGUGGAGAGCAAAAAUGGACCCAAGGGCAAACUGGCCCAGGGUCAGCACACCAGCUUAGAUGUACUCAGGAACUGGAUUUUUGCAUGGACUAAGCUGGGCUCUACGAAGGAGAAAUUUUGCCAGAAGAACAAGGAAUUCUGAAAUCAUGCCAUGGCAACUAUCUUCCUUCUCAAGAGAUCCCAGAGGAAGAUAUGAAGGAGGCAAAACACAACAAAGAAAUACCAAUUUUAAUUGCGUUUUGGACUCAAGCCUUAAAGGAGAACUCCAGUAAGCAAGGGCGACCCAAGCGGUAAGGCUCCUCAUGUAUCAGGUAAGCCAAGCCCUCAAACCAAAGCAGGCCACGUGGCUUUCUCUCUUAAUUCCAUAUUUUGGGUUAGCCCCUCCAGACUGGUAACUAAUAUGUGGGCGGAAAGCCCAAAUGGGCCAGAAGGAAAGAGAGAGAGAAAAAAAGAAAAGAAAGUGCAUGCCCUGAGAUGGUAAAGUUGGCUCAAGCUGCCUCCUGGGUGAGCCUCGGGCCAGGCCGGUACAUCUAGACUUAACACUCACGUGGGGAAGGCGAGCUGAGAAGGACGGCGGGGUCAUGGUAGGGGAGCAGCAGGCCCUGGCGCGCUCCCCAGCCCAGCCUGCACUGAGUGGAGGGGAGGGGAGGGGAGAAGGUGGGAUCACGCACAGCAAGGUGCUGACCUUUCAGCCAUUUCAAGACCUCUUGAAACAUGACCGAAGUCACUAGUCUAUACUCUGGAGUUGGGAAAGGAGGUGCAGCUCUCUCUCUGACCCAGAGCAAAGGGGCCCCAGAGGAAAAUGAGGCAUGCUGCCUGCUCUGAGGAAGCUCAAGGUCACAGGGGAAUGGGGGAAACCAACAUGUAAUUUUCCUCUCCCUUUCUGUGCUAUCUGGCAUGAGUGUGGUGUGUGCUCUAAAAAUGCCACUCAUAGGCUAGUUGAUGUCAUCAAAAUAAGAAAGUAAAAACCUUACUAUUUUUCAGUAUUUAUUACUGUGGAAGUACAUGGAUAAGUCAUCUUGGAACUGGAGAUGCUUUUACUUUUUAGAUAUAUCUUGGCCAACAUUACUUUGAACAGAGGGGUCCACCGCAUAGCAUCAGUGCAUAUCAUUACAAAAUUCACCAAUAAUAUUGCUUGCUGCUUUUUCAUGGACACAAUCUUGUCUUCCCAACUUUUUAUUGACUGAAAUGCCAAUAAUAGAAUAUAGUACCCUUUGAAAUGUUAAAGGGGAUUGUCUCAGUGAGACUUAACAUUAUAUAGACAUUUAGGAAAACGUAGCUUAGGAAAAGUUUCCUGGUUUUUUUUUUCCCCUGAUCAUAUCAAUAUCCUUGCAUUUAUUACAGAAUGCAGAUUCUCAGGCCUCUUGGACAUUCUGAUUCAAUAGAUCUGAUGUAGGGCCAGGAAACUGGAGUUUUUAACAAAUACCCCAAGAGAGUCUUAUGAUCAAGAAACACACCUGUAAGGUGUCUCUCACUCUAAUAUUCUGUAAUUCUGCAGUAGUUACCUGGACCACAAGGAACAUAUCUUUACUGGCCAUAUUGGAGCUAACAUUGUACUGAGAACAGAAAGGGUGUUCAGUAUGGAUUUAACUGCUCAUUGAUGCAUUCUGAUGGAGCCCCAGCUUUCACUUGAUAUGGACAUUUCACAGCCAGUGGUAUUUUGGACAGUGACUUGGAAAUGAGACUGUAUCAUUAGAAACAAGGUUAUUGUGAUUUUCAAAACAUUUCACAGUUUACAAAGUAUUUUUAUUAUGUGUUCUCUUAAGAACUUCAUCAAAACCUGAUAAAGUUAUCAAAGCAAAAACUAUUAUUGAUAUUUUACAAAUGUGAAACUCAUGGAUGUGAAGAACUGGCUCUUUUUUUUUUACUUAGCUACUAGGUAUGGAAUUAAGAUUAAAAUUCAGAUUUCUGUAUUCUUUGCUUUAUGAUCUUUUCACGGUGCAAGGAUUUUUUUUUUAACACUAGCAAUCCUGCCUGUAUUUAUUGUACAUCCAGCAAAAGAAAAUUCAUGACUUUAUUCCUGCAUGAAAAGACCAGUAUUGUGGGUGAAACCAGCUAGAACCAAACUUGAUAACUACAUAUACAAAAUGUGAGAACAAAAGUGGAAUAUUCAAGAACAUCAUCUUCUCCUCAGAAAGAAUUUUAGCAGUUCCUAAUGAGCCAAAGACAAUCUAGAAUAAUCUCUCAAUCCCCAUAUCUCAUCAUUUUCCCACCACAGUCUUGGCCUUCAUUCUCCUAAAUGGCAUAGUAACUGGUGCAUUUUUGAGAGGGCUGGGAAAUGAACUGUAGGGAGUAAGAAAAUUCUAGGUCUUCCUUCACAGGAUGAAUGAAUUGGAAUAAUUGGAAUAAGAGGGGAAAUUGAGCCAGAGGCUAGUUUAAUAUACCCCUAUUUCCUCCCAUGGCUCAAGACUGAGGACUAACUGAUGGCGAGGUCCCCACCUUCUCUGUCCUUCCCUCAGGGUGAUGCCUUCACAUAUGAUCCUUGGACCGUUGCAGGUGCUUGUAAAAUUCUUGAGGACCACCUCAUAGCAACUAAGUCAGAAUUUCCAGGAUUGGGUCCUUCGUAUUUAUGUACA